ACUCCCUCUAGUUUAAUGUUACUUUUAGUUUAGUUUUUUUUUUUUAAUUUCUUUAAGCUGUUUGGUUGCUCAGAAAAGAAUGGGAAAUGGUUGGAAUGAACUUCAUGCUGCAACAAAGCAAACCCAAGUUAAUAAGGAUAGGUAUCAUCAUAUAAGAAACCCUGCAGUCUGCACCAAUUUUUCAACAUAGAAACCUCAUGUUACCGGUAAAUUAGGAAGUUGAAUGAUGUCCACCUGCAUCGAAAUGUUGACAAGGAGAAUGAAAGUGAAGUUAUCGUACUUGGCUUCUGUAGAACUGAAACUUAAUCGAUGAAUUGUUGAACCUCAUGAAUCGAACAUCAGUUAUCAUCCUAUUAAGUUUCACAUUGGUUUUUUA